UACGAAGGGGGCUAGCGUUGUUCGGAAUUACUGGGCGUAAAGCGCACGUAGGCGGACUUGUCAGUCAGGGGUGAAAUCCCGGUGCUCAACCCCGGAACUGCCUCUGAUACAGCAAGUCUUGAGUCCGGAAGAGGUGGGUGGAAUUCCUAGUGUAGAGGUGAAAUUCGUAGAUAUUAGGAAGAACACCGGUGGCGAAGGCGGCCCACUGGUCCGGUACUGACGCUGAGGUGCGAAAGCGUGGGGAGCAAACAGG
rnacentral:rRNA from 1 species